UACAGAGGGGGCAAGCGUUAUUCGGAAUUAUUGGGCGUAAAGGGCGCGUAGGCGGCUUGGCAAGUGGAAGGUGAAAUCCCUCGGCUUAACCGGGGAACUGCGUCUGAUACUGGAUGGCUUGAGUUUGGGAGAGGGAUGCGGAAUUCCAGGUGUAGCGGUGAAAUGCGUAGAUAUCUGGAGGAACACCGGUGGCGAAGGCGGCAUCCUGGACCGGCAUUGACGCUGAUGAGCGAAAGCCAGGGGAGCAAACGGGG
rnacentral:rRNA from 1 species